UAAUUCUGUGUUAUUUCUAAAUUAACAGUUAUUAGAGAAUUGAGGCAGAAAAUGUUGCAUGGAAGUAACCAUGAGGAGGAGCUGAGGUGUUCUCUUCUGAGAGAUGAAGUUGGCAUGUGGGAUUGCUCUUCAGCAGCUGCCCCCUGCCAUAAAUGAUUGCUCUUCCUUCUCUUUGGGCUGGGUGUGGAUGGGAACCAAAGCUGAGGGGU